UCCUACGGGAGGCAGCAGUAGGGAAUUUUCGGCAAUGGGCGAAAGCCUGACCGAGCAACGCCGCGUGAAGGAAGAAGUCAUUCGUGAUGUAAACUUCUGUUAUGAAGGAAGAACGGCAGAUGGAGGGAAUGCCAUGUGCGUGACGGUACUUCAUGAGGAAGCCACGGCUAACUACGUGCCAGCAGCCGCGGUAAUACGUAGGUGGCGAGCGUUAUCCGGAAUCAUUGGGCGUAAAGAGGGAGCAGGCGGCAGUGCAGGUCUGCGGUGAAAGACCGGAGCUAAACUUCGGUAAGCCGUGGAAACCGCACAGCUAGAGAGCAUCAGAGGAUCGCGGAAUUCCAUGUGUAGCGGUGAAAUGCGUAGAUAUAUGGAGGAACACCAGUGGCGAAGGCGGCGGUCUGGGGUGCAGCUGACGCUCAGUCCCGAAAGCGUGGGGAGCAAAUAGGAUUAGAUACCCUAGUAGUCC
rnacentral:rRNA from 1 species